UACGUAGGGGGCAAGCGUUGUCCGGAUUUACUGGGCGUAAAGCGCGCGUAGGUGGAAGGUCAAGUCCGGCUUGAAAGCCCCCGGCUCAACCGGGGAGAGUGGCUGGAAACUGGCUUUCUUGAGGGCGAGAGAGGAGGGUGGAAUUCCUGGUGUAGCGGUGAAAUGCGCAGAUAUCAGGAGGAACACCGGUGGCGAAGGCGGGUCUCUGGGCCGUAACUGACGCUGAGGAGCGAAAGCGUGGGGAGCGAACAGG
rnacentral:rRNA from 1 species